AUGACUAUUUGCGCGGCUGCCAACAGUCCACCACAGUGCCAUACAAAACUCAGCCACUACUCCCAGCACCCUGAUCAAAAGCUGUGUCCAUGUUCACUCUCAAGAACAAGUUUGGCAAUGGCAGCCAUGCCAUCAGAAAUAAGAAUUGAUACCUGUGAGCUUCUUGGCUGCUCCUUCGUAGAUCCAUACUCGGACUUGUGGGGGUGUAUAAAGAAAGUCACCUCUCCUGCCGGUCUUCUCUUUCCUUCAGCGUUACUGAGAUUUCAACCUGUCACCACCACGUCCACAACAGCAGCAUGA
rnacentral:rRNA from 1 species